UUCGGGUUCAGGUUCUCCGGCU
rnacentral:miRNA from 1 species